CUGGCAUCAAAUGCCAAAUGCUAUCUGGAAGAAGGGAAACAUAAUCCCUCUGGAAAUUAUAUCAUAUAGCUUUUCUCCUUGUUCCCUCUUCAGGUAUGCAUAAACCAUUUCGAACAGGAUUUCGCCCAAUUUAGGGACAAUAACUGUUUGGACGAUGUUAGAUAAGAAUCGUUCUUCUUAGGUACUUGUAGUGGAGGUUAAUGUUUUAUUGACACGUGGGGUACUGCCUUCUGGACGAAUCGUGGGGCUUCAGUUGCAGGACCUAUAGAAAAUCCUGCAAGUUAAAAGGUAAACUGUAAUUUCUUGCAACAAGUAAUGUUUGGGCUUCUUCUCACAUAAAAUGAUGGGAAAUACUUCUGAUUACAUUCUGGCAUGCAACUUGCCAAACAUGUAAUCAUUCAUAUAUCUGGUAAUCAUUUAUCAAAUACAUAGGAAAGAUAAAGAAUAAAGAACACGGUUUUUCAAUCUGUUCACAUUCUUGUUAAACAUGAUCAUGGCAUAGUUAAGUUAGGUCAAUAUUUAAAUGAUUCUAAUCAUGUCAAUGACAUUGUCUUGACUAGUGUCUGUCUUAUUUGUCGUACAAUUUUAACAAGUGGGUGGCAAUAUGGCCGACAUGAUAUAACAGAUGCUUGACACGUACGUUUCACUUGCUUUAUAAUAAGACAUUGGCAUAUGGUGACAGAAAUUGUGUUUAAGGAUAGGAUCCAGCCAAUUGAUUAGUCUUUAUAUCUUGGUAUCUAAUUAAUUAUGUGGUUAGAUUAUGAAGGUAGAAAUAUUGGACUGGUAACGGACUGAAGGUAAUUGAACUUAUACAAGUGUUGUAAGAAAAGAAGGUAUUGAAUGGAUAGGAACACAUUAGUAUGAUUGUUCUUAUAAUUUAGAAACGGAUCGAGGUAGAAUUAUAAAUCUGAGACUAUAUGAUGUUCCAUAAUAAUCAUAAAAAAAAAAAAGAGCAUAUGCCAUUAUUUUUGGAAAACAGCUUAUGAUGUUUGUUAUUUGCUGGAAGAAAAAUAAUUAUAGCUGAACUUUGUGUGAGCGAUCAGAAUGAGAUGCUUUUAAGAUAUUAGUUGAUUUCAUUUUACAGAAGGCUGGUAAUAAACUGAUUGAGCUUCAUUAACAGAGUUGUAGUAAAAGAAACUUUGGCCUAAGUUGAUAAUUGGUAUAUGCUCAAGAGAAAUUUCAGGAAGGUAAACAGCUAUAAGAUAGUCAUGUUUAAUGGUGUAGACUGUAGAAUAAGGAACCAAAAUCCAAAAAUGAAGUGAUGAGAAAUUUGUCAAUGCAUGAGUGACUAGAAAUAAUGUGAAGUUGACUUUGCAUUGGGAAUGGUUGAACAUAUCAGCAUAACUGACUAGAUCUAUGGAGUCAUUUCAUGGGAUGGUCAUGGAUAACUGGAGCAAAUGUUUGACAAGAUAUCUAGUUUUGGCUAAAUAGCUAUAGGGGAAAGGGGAGGUCAAAAAUGAUGGGAGUGCAGAAAUAGAAGUUGCCAAAAUGAAUGAACUUGUUAGUGAAUGUGUGCCAAUAUGAAUUGUUUUUCUUGGCCCAAACAGAUAUAAGAAGAAAAUGUUAGAAGUUUUCUUUGACACGCUUCUCAAUGGUACUUGUUUCUCUUGUAUUUCGUAGAAUUUCAAUUUUACAAGUUUUAGAUUCAAUGCAUGUAGAUAUUUUCUUUCUAUUUUUUUUCCUGAAAAGCAGAAUUUGUAGAGAGAAAAUAAAGAUCAGAGACAGGAAGGAGGCUUCACAGAAAAAGUACUCACAUGCACACAUUGGCUGUUCUUCGACCAUUUUGAGCAUCAGAUAUGUGAGAGUUUGCAGAUUGUAUCCCCCUAAUGUGUAAAUUUUUUUUUUAAUGGAAGUGGAUUCCAUACUUUAAUUGUUUAAUAUCUACUUGGUUAAAACCCAAAACUGUCACACAAGAAUAGUGCCUAACAUUUCUUUAAAGAGUCAACAAAACAAUGCUGACAAUUAAAGCUAUUUCCACAAUCCAACCUGUGCAAUAGUUGUUUAUAUUUGACGGUUAUGCAAGGUUAAUAUUGCCUCACGUUGAUGUAAGUUGUUGACUUUUUCAGUAAUGUAAUAAUGGUUCUUUUGCAACUUCUUGUUUAAGGUGUUGUUAUUCUUUUAGCAAACUUCCCUGGAGAUUCUUUUUAUGGUCUACACAAAAGAUAUUAUUGUAUUCAUCUUUUUCUUUUUCUUUUUUGUUCUCUAUGUAUAUAACUUGUUUCGUAGCAGUUUCAUUUACACUUUUUUAAUCUUUUUCCUUUUUUGUUUCACCAGAGUAGCCCUUAAAAUGAAGAGGCUGGUAUGUCCUUAGGAGCAUGUUUUGAAUUAAAUUGGUCAGUUAAAGAUGUGGAAAAAUUUCCUUGUCACAUAGGAGUAUUUGCUUCAUGGCAACAUCUGUCAAAUGAUGCUUCUCAUUGCAUGGACAAAAUUUUGAAACCUUUUGAUGGGUUUUGAGAGACAAUUAUGAAUGGGACCUACUGCUGCUCCAAAAUGCAAGCAAAUAAACUUUAUUCUUCCCAUUAGCUUAAUAUUAUCUAGAAGUGUCCAAAAAUUUUGAAAUAGAUGAUCAAAAUUUUCAGGUGUUGCAUAUAUCUGGUGGAGCAUAUGACUUGAUUGAGAGUGAUAAUCUGUUUUAUAUUCAUCUGUGCUAACAUGAGGUCAGGUCUUGCCUUGGUUACAGUUUACCAUUUUAACCAUAUCAGGUGCAUGGAGUCUCCAAAUUUUGUUCAUUCUGUUCUUGUUAUGUUUGCAUAGGACUUCCAUGAUGGUUGGCUCUUGCCAAUUAUUUUGGACUUAUUGUGACAGAAUCCUGCAGGAAAGAUGAUUUAGCAUCUCCAGUUGAAGCGGGAUGGAUUACUCAUCUAUGAAGUUCAAAGUCCUAUGAGCAGGUAUGCGAAGGGUUCUGUUCCAAGGUGCAAUGCAUGGCAUGUGAUUUUUUUCUGGUGGGCUACAAUCUGACAAUGCAAUCUUUUUUAUGUCCACAACUGUGCACCCAAGUUACAUUGAAACUAAAGGAGACACUAGGUCACAAGAGGCAAGAGUACAUUAGACAGCAAAGCAGAACUGUAUGAUAACAUUAAUCUUGAAUUCUUGGCCAUGACCUCACUAAGCAAGCAUGUCACAAGCUCCAAUUCUUAUGGGGGCUUCAUUUAUUUUGAUAUGGAUCUGAUGAUGUUGUAGUUGCGUACUUAUACCUAAAUGUGCAAGUUGCAUUAUGGCAUGGUAAAAUAAAUAUAUGGUCUCACAUGGUCGAUUUUCAAUUCAUUUUGUGGAAUCAACCACUGCAGAAAGAUUAAUUCUUCCAGGCUUAUGGAGAAGUAUAAGUAGAAUAGUUCUAAACUCGUUGGAAAUUUGGGGUU